GACGAACGCUGGCGGCGUGCCUAAUACAUGCAAGUCGAACGCAGUGGGGACGGGUGAGUAACACGUGGGUAACCUCCCAUCAGAGGGGAUAACACUUGGAAACAGGUGCUAAACCGAUACUGAUGGAUGGACCCGCGGUGCAUUAGCUAGUUGGUGAGGUAACGGCUCACCAAGGCCACGAUGCAUAGCCCACCCGAGAGGGGUGUCGGGCAACCCUGGACCGUGACCCGGCCCAGACUCCCACGGGAGGCCGCAGGUGGGAAUCUUCGGCAAUGGACGGAAGUUUGACCGAGGAACCGCGCGGGAGUGAAGAAGGUUUUCGGGUCGUAAAACCCUGUUGUUAGAGAAGCGGUAUCUAACCAGAAAGCCACGGCUAACUACGUGCCAGCAGCCGCGGUAAUUC
rnacentral:rRNA from 1 species